GCUGUGGGAUGCGGUUGCUGUUCUCCGUUCCAGCAGAGGAUAUUGAUUUUGACUCACGAGACUGCGGGAAAACAGCUGGAACAAGAACGGAGGCUGAGUGUUGAAAGGUCAAGAGGGCAAAAGGAGGAGAGAUGUGAGACAGAGAGAAACAGAGAGGGAUCACAGAGCCUUUAGGAGCUGUGGCCUCCUUGGAAGAAGUGACCACUGGGUGUGCUGUUAACCCCUGGCAUACCUGGUGUACCUCCGGAUGAUCUCUGCUUCCUCAUUGAUGACCCAGCUGCCUCCUGCUUCGUUUGCCCCAUGCUGGCCUUCCCCACUACAGUGGCCUAUAAACUCCUCCACUGUGAGCAAAAUAAACCCCUUUUUUUGCUCUUUCAGUUGCCUCUUUCAAGCAUUUGUUCACAGUGACAAGAAAAUGCUAAUACAACCCAACCAGGUAGCAUGUCAACAUCAUCAUGCUUCUGAAGCUAGAAACUGACUGGGACUAGAAAGAAGGGCUUCAGGAUGUCUGUGUUGUGAUAGAACAUUUCGAGUUCACGUAACGAGCUUUCUCGUGGCGAUGCUCAGGCAAAGAACAAUGUCAUGUUAUGACAAAGCGUUGACAAUAACAUGAAAUCACUGCAUAUCGAUCUAUUAUUAAGGAGUUGCAGUUUUCCAGCAGAAAGUCUCCUGGAGAGUUGGAGGUAAAGGAGACUGCACAGGGCAGAGACACACAGGCCAACCACCUUGUGAUCAGCAGUGAUUUACUCUUACAUUCCAGAACAUGGCUCCUGCUAACAUUCUGGCGUUAGAUGACCGACCUUUGUCUGGACCAUUUCGUGCGGGGAAAUUGCUCCAGUAACUGAAGAAAGGAAAAGAGCAGAGCCCUAAGGGACCACUUCCCAUGGUGCCGGCCACAGCCCUCCAGCUGACCUUUGGGGAAUGGUGACACAAACUUCCUGGCUCCUCGCUAGCAACAUCUUUGAUCAGUCCUUUAAAGAAGAAAAUCCCAGGGAUUGGAGACUCAGCCAAAGAAGUCAAGGAGCGAAGGGGAAGGACGGUUUCAACAAAAUAGACAGAGGAAACGGUUUUGAGGCCUUGAAGAGCAUCUAAAGAAGCAGACUCUGGUCUGCCCCGUUUACUCUGGAUCAGCUUUACAGUACAGAAAGGUAUUGUUCCAGGAUCGGUGGUGAGAGACGCAGCUUUGUGCUUCGUCUGGUGAAAAUGUGCCCAGUCCUGUCAUCAUGCAUCAUUUACAGAGUGAAAUAGAACCAAAUUCAAAUAUCUUUAAAAGUCUUUGUCUCUCUGUUUCUCUCUCUCUCUCUCAUACACACACAGACACACACACACAAGUCUCUCUGUCUCUCUCUUACACACACACACACACACACACACACACACUCACUCUCACUCGUGAUUGGAAUAUCAGGAGAUAUAUUCCUACCUGGCAGGAUGCUCAGUAGUGCAAUGAACACCUUUUACAGCUGUCCUAAAAUAUUCAUUGGUUUGGGAAGCUAGUAUUCUUUAGCCAUCAUGCUGUAUCUAUCUUGUUAUAAAAGGAAAACUCCAGUAUAAGUGGGCGUCAGUGAUUCCGGAGCAUGCUGUAAUAUCCACGGAGGCUUCCUGAUAGCGUUACUUGGGCGUCAGUGAUCCCGGAGCAUGCUGUAAUAUCCACGGAGGCUUCCUGAUAGCGUUGCUUGGGACAGUCUUCAGAAUUAAGUUGUCGUUGGAAAGGUUUGGUAUGCUUUGAUUUUUCUUAAGAUUCAAAAAUAUCUGAAUCUAUAAAAACCAAGACGAAGAAUGUAAACACGAAUUCAUGAAUGUAUUCACCUACGUCUUCAGGCUCUGUCCAUCAGGGGACAGCUUGUUCUCCGACAUGUGUGUGCCUGCCUUUGGAAUCCACAACACAUUCCAGGGAAAUGAUAUCCUACCCGGCUUGGUUGUUUACUCUGAUGAGAGCAUAUUUGAACCUCAUUUUUGCCCUCUUCAGUUUGUUUACAUUGAAGCAAAACAUUCUCACGCAGGGAAAGAGUCCAUACUCUUUCUCAGUGGAGGAGGGCGUUUCUUUCUAGGAUCAGCAACUUCGUGUCUGUAGAGUUAAUUAACAGGAGGUUGGAGACCAGUCCUUCAGGCUACACGUCUGUAUCCGUGAUCUUUGGCAAGGGCAGAGCACUAUCACAGGCAAUGGAUGAGAUAUGCAAAUAAUGGAACCUAACUAGAGCUGUGUUCUCAGCCUGCUGUCUGCUGAUAGCAGAGCGGUUCUGACCACCAUCACCUUGGAGGAUCUGAGAAACUCCUCUGUGAGAACAGCAGAAUGGUUUAGAGUUAAAAUCCUCGUCCAGCUUGCUGUGACAGCUUACAUUUUUUUCACACCCUUCUUGCUGUGAUGGAAAGUCUUCCACAUCGGAAGAGAUCUGUGCAAAUCAUUAGACAAAGUCUAUCAGUCAUGUACGUCUGUAAGCUUUGAUCAUUCGAAAACGUUAUUUUAGAUUGACAUCCUGCCUCACUCAAAGCAGGCGCUGACAGCAUGGCACUGCGUAAGUUUCAGUCUACUAUAAAAGUUUAACGUUUUAGAUGCUUGGCUUUGCUGAAUGCCUACCUCCAGUGCUCAGGAGUCACUAAGCACAUUUUGUGGCUAUGGAGCACAGUUUCUGCUCAAUUGUGAUGUGCCCUAAAGUGGAGGGAAUAUAUGGGGCUUUAAAGACAGUUGAAACAGUGUUUGUAUAUAAUUGGUUAAACCAUGAAUGCUGCCAAAGUUUCUUUCACUUGUUUCUUUUGACUUUGCUAAGUAUGAUUACAUCUUAAUCACUGGUAUAUCUACAGUUGACAUGCAUAGUUCACAUUCUUCUUCUUCUGAGUAAUGCUCUCUAAAGGCUUGAGAAGUAAGCUAUGAAGAGACAUUAUGUUAUGUUUUGUGCUGGUCUCCUGCCUUUGAAGUAGUCCAGUAAGAUCCUUAAUCGCCACAAACCCCUUUGAAAAGCCUAGGAAACGCCUCUUACUAGGAUCCCAAGGACAAGGACCUCAAAGGAUGUUGUCAUCCUGGCUGUGACUCGUGAGCUAAAGCGAACUUCGAGUUCAUACUUCACUGGGCAAAACACGCAUACUCAGCUGUUGCCCCUAUUACUACUAACUCUUCCUCGGUGUGCUCCUAAAAAGUAGAAGAAUCUUGAGGUAGAAUCAAGGAAUGUUUCAGUUCACAAUUUUCAGAGUCAGUAUCUAGUAGAGAAGAGAACCUUAAAAAAAAUGUUUGCUGAACUGAGAUAGUGAGUGCAAAUACAAAUUACAGGUGCCUCUGCAUUGCACCACAGUGUAAUUGAACUCAGCUUCUUGCUGCAGUGACGAGAGUUCUGUUCUAACAUGAUGUGACUAGAACAAAUGCCAGCUCUGAGGGAUGUAGACAGUAGCAUAGGGGGAGUUCUGGGAGGUUGGGGCAAUUCAAAGAUCCAAAAGCAUAAGGAAACCAAACAAAGUUUAUGUUGUUACCCAAGUUAGUUAGAAUGUGUUGGUGGCAAGGAUCCAAUAGCUCCGAGAAGUCAGUGUAGGCCUGAGAUCUUGACUUAUGAUGGAAGUCAAUGAUGGUGCUUUGAGGCCCCAUGAAGCAAAGUUCAGGCUAGUCAUGGGCCUCUGAUGUACUUCUUACAGCUUGAGUAGGUGGUUGGUUGUGGCUCACAUGGAGGUCUGAUCCCUCUGGCACUAAUAGGAGUUGGCUUCAUUUGAUUAUGGACAGGAUAAGUUAGAGUCAGGUUCAGAUAUGUAUUGAAGAUUUUCAACAUAAAGCACCAACAAGAGGGUUGAGGAGAUAGCCAGGUAUGACAAGUGCUUUUUUUUUUUUUAAUGAGUGUGAAAGCCAGAGCACAAUUCCCAGAACCCACAUCAAAAAGCACGAUGUGGUUGUUCUAUGCUUAUAGUCCCAGUGUUGAAGAGGAAAAGCCAGAACCCUGGGGCUCACUAGCUAGCCAAUCUAGCUUAUCCAUGAACCCCAAGACUCAGUGAGACUCCUUCUCCCAAAACACAAGUGCAGAGUUCCUUAGAAAAACGUCUGAGGUUCACCUCUGACCUCCACAUACGUGUACCCUUCUAAGAACCCAUGUGCAUGUGUGUGUAUGUGUGUGUGUGCGCGCGUACACACACACACACACACACACACACACACACACACAUACAUCUACACACAUUGUAAGCAGGGUUUCUUUAGUUACUCAGUUGUGGAAGACAGAGACUGAGCAUUUAGGGUUUAUAAAUACUCUUGGAAUUCAGUAAGAGAAUAAAAAUCUCUUUUCCAACCAUCAACCAGCUACUAGAUGUUGCAGAGUUAAAGCAUUCUUUUUCCUUUUCUUUCCUUUUCUUUCCUUUUCUUUCCUUUCCUUUCCUU